ensembl:lncRNA
CUGCUGUGAGUUGUAGUAACUCUGCAAUAGCAAGUAUUAGCUACAUGUCCAUUCAUCCAUGGACAGGAGUCCCUUUGUACAUCAGUGCAUUUCUCAUGUCUGCAACAUGCAUACAUAUGUUUACAGAGAUGCAUACAGCUGAACACACUCUUGUUAAUAAAAACACCCUCCUCCCCCAGUGUAACCUACAUCUUUAUCUAAAUAAAGGCAUGUUUCAGAUUAUCAUGCUAAUGCAAAGCCAUUGUUUACCAAACCACUUUCCUCUGCCCCCCCAAGACCCUCCUCCUCCCUCCUUUUCUCCGUCCUGCACCUCCCUCCCUACCCCCAUCUCCAUCCGGACCUCCUGAUUGUACAUUUGCAGCCCCCAAGUCCUCCAUCCAGCCAUUAUCUCCUCUUAUCUCUUUCUAAGUCCCUGUCGCCCAUGCCCAGAAAAUGCUCUCAUAUUGUUACUCAGGAGGAGUUAAGACGCUCUUGGUUGUCCUGAAAUGCUCCCAGCAGAUGUUUUAACAUUUGAGCGCUUUUUAUUGCCUGCACUUUCUUCCUUUGAGGGGUGGCGGGAGGGAGAAUAGGAUAGCAGGGAAGAGAGAGGGGAUGGAUAGAUGGAGGGGAGGUGGUUUUAAACAGUAGAAGGCCAACAGCUGUUUGCUUCUCCCUCCCUGGGUGCAUUAACCUCUUUGGCCUUUUUGCAGCAGUGCCAGUACAAGGAACCUCUCAGCAUCUGGAGCUUAAGUAGGGCGAAAAUAUCACUGUUGCUACGGUGAGGGGACAGCAAAUCCUGGAAACAGGCUCUAAGAUAGGAGAGUGGGUCAUGCCACCACAAACGGAGAAGUCACAGCAGGUUGAUGAAUGUCUUAACAUGGGAUUAUAGGCAUUUGCACAAAACAAACAACAAAAAAAAGAAAGAAAGAAAAAAAACCACUUUCAAAAUUUAAACAGGCUUCGUUGUACUGCUUCAUUAUAGAGAAACAUCUACAAACAUGUAGCUAGACAAAGAAAAAAGAAUUGCCCCAAAAAAGAACUUGUCUAUGUGACAGAAGGUGUUGAAGGGUUAUCGAGAUUCUUGUCACAUUCAUUAAUGGUUUCCACUAAAUCCACUGAUGCCAUACAUUCAGUGCCUGGAAUGGGCUUUAUGUGAAGUCAGACAAUGACAGUCAAACAAAAGAAUAACUUUUAUCAACAUUUAAAACUAUAAACAUGUAAGACAAACAACUCUGGCUGUUGUUCAUCUGUAGCGAGUGUAGGCUGCCAGGCUGCUGUUUACCUGAGCUGUUGUUCACGUCUAUUUACUGUGGAGGAUUCUGUGAAACGUGUUGAAAGGAGUCUGAUAUGAGUCUAUGAGUCAGUGAAGCUCACUUCUCUCCAUUGGCAGUGAUACUGGGGUGAGUUGUUAAGGAUAUGCUGAACUUUUUU